GACGAACGCUGGCGGCGUGCUUAACACAUGCAAGUCGAACGGAAAGGCCCUGCUUUUGUGGGGUGCUCGAGUGGCGAACGGGUGAGUAACACGUGAGUAACCUGCCCUUGACUUUGGGAUAACUUCAGGAAACUGGGGCUAAUACCGGAUAGGAGCUCCUGCUGCAUGGUGUGGGUUGGAAAGUUUCGGCGGUUGGGGAUGGACUCGCGGCUUAUCAGCUUGUUGGUGGGGUAGUGGCUUACCAAGGCUUUGACGGGUAGCCGGCCUGAGAGGGUGACCGGCCACAAUGGGACUGAGAUACGGCCCAGACUCCUACGGGAGGCAGCAGUGGGGAAUAUUGCACAAUGGGCGGAAGCCUGAUGCAGCAACGCCGCGUGCGGGAUGACGGCCUUCGGGUUGUAAACCGCUUUCGCCUGUGACGAAGCGUGAGUGACGGUAAUGGGUAAAGAAGCACCGGCUAACUACGUG
rnacentral:rRNA from 1 species